GACCACAUCAUGUUGAAACGCCAGUUCUCGUACGAUCACCGACGUUAAGCAAUGUCGAGAUAGGUCAGUACCUAGAUGGGUGACCGUUUGGGAAUUCUAGGUGCUGUAAG